CAAUAGCGUAUAUUAAAGUUGUUGCAGUUAAAAAGCUCGUAGUUGGAUUUCAAGAAACGCAUCCAGAAAUGGAUUGCUUUCUACCAGUCUUUGACUGUUACUGUGAGAAAAUUAGAGUGUUUCAAGCAGGCUUUGCAGGAAUACAUUAGCAUGGAAUAACGCGUGUGUCUACAAUUUGGUUGAUUGUAGAUUACGAUUAAUAGGGACAGUUGGGGGCAUUAGUAUUUAAUAGUCAGAGGUGAAAUUCUUGGAUUUGUUAAAGACUAACGUAUGCGAAAGCAUUUGCCAAGGAUGUUUUCAUUAA
rnacentral:rRNA from 1 species